CUGGCAUUGAGGUUAAUUAUAAUUUUCUUAUUUUUCAUCUCGUGUCGUUCGUAAUGAUCAGGUCGUAGGUUCAAUUCCUAUUGCCAGCUCCA
rnacentral:tRNA from 1 species